UACAGAGGGUGCAAGCGUUAAUCGGAAUUACUGGGCGUAAAGCGUGCGCAGGCGGUUCUAUAAGACAGAUGUGAAAUCCCCGGGCUCAACCUGGGAACUGCGCUUAAGACUGGAGUGCUUGAGGAUGGAAGAGGGUCGUGGAAUUCCCAGUGUAGAGGUGAAAUUCGUAGAUAUUGGGAAGAACACCGGUGGCGAAGGCGGCGACCUGGUCCAUUACUGACGCUGAGGCGCGAUAGCGUGGGGAGCAAACAGG
rnacentral:rRNA from 1 species